UACGUAGGGCGCAAGCGUUGUCCGGAAUUAUUGGGCGUAAAGAGCUCGUAGGCGGCUUGUCGCGUCGGUUGUGAAAGCCCGGGGCUUAACCCCGGGUCUGCAGUCGAUACGGGCAGGCUAGAGUUCGGUAGGGGAGAUCGGAAUUCCUGGUGUGAGCGGGUGGAAAUGACGCCAGAUAUCAGGAGGAACACCGGUGGCGAAGGCAGAUCUCUGGGCCGUAACUGACGCUGAGGAGCGAAAGCAUGGGGAGCGAACAGG
rnacentral:rRNA from 1 species